ensembl:snRNA U5 U5 spliceosomal RNA
GUACUCUGGUUUCUCUUCAAAGCGUAUAAAUCUUUCGCCUUUUACUAAAGAUUUCCGUGGAGAGGAACAACUCUGAGUCUUAAUCCAAAUUUUUUGAGGCCUUACAGACAGUAAGGCU